CAUGUAUUUUCAUACAUAUAUUUAUGUGUGACCUGCAACCUGCAAACUUCAACCUGCGACCCGCAACCUGCAACCCGAAACCCGCAACCUGCAAAAUAGCACUUCCCAAGUUGAGCUGAUGACUGCGACAUAACACGAUUUAUCUUAUUGCAACACGAUCUUACCACGCAUCUUCUGUGAUUAUAUCACACUCUAAAUAGUCUUAUGAAGAUCAUUAUACGAUCUUAUAACGUUCAUACCGCGAUCUAAUUCCGCUCUCACCAAUAACGUUAACAUCAUGUUCCAUAUUUAUACUGUUCCAUUUCUUCCAAUUGUCAUUAAUGCAUUAGUAUGAUGUAGUCAGGUCGUAAGAAGAGCGUGAUGAGGACGGCAUGUGCGUGCUAGAAUCGUAUUAUGAUCUUCAGCAGCGUGGUGUAAACGUGUUAUAGUCGUAGUGGAAGCGUAGUUGGGUUGCAGUGAGAACGUGCUGGUCGUAGUGAUCAUGAGGUCGUAAUAACAUCGCUGUGAGAUCGUAGCUCAGUCUCUCCGAAUCGAAUCAUGCUUUUACUACUCUCUCGCUACGAUAGUACAGCGACCUUUGCGAUCUUAGCACGACCUUCUUACGCUAUCACUACACUUCUACGAUGACCUGAUUUCACCACUACACCCUGAUUGUUUUGAACAUGUUCAAAGUUGGCCACGCUACGCUAAUCACGAUCUUGAAGACCUCACCACGCCGUAUUACGACCUUACUCACAGAUCGUAGUGCGAUCGUGGUCUAGUGGGACUGCGGUAUUAUAGUCAAUUUUUGGUAAUUUGUUUUAUUCUUUUACAAAAAGUUUUCCUGUGAAACGACUGAGACAAAUUAAACAAAUUUUGACCACAAUCAUCAUUAGGGUAUCUAUUUUUAAAAAUAUAUCUGAUCACUUCACCAACUAACCAACAUGGCCACCAUACCUAAAAUAAUAGUUUGAUUUUUGGCUUAACGUCCAGUGGCAAAUAUUUCAUGCAUGUUCAGGACGAAAAUAUAACAUAGGGAUUUACUGUAUAGAAGUACGUGGGGAAAUGUUUAACAGACAAUUUCAAAUGGUCAAAAUGUAAACACUUAUUUAAAUAAUGACAAGUGGUUUUCAGUAACUAAAUGUAAGAUUUUCACCUUCUUUUACAUGAUUUCCAAAACCACAUUAGACACAGGUGAGCGACACAUUCACUUCAGAGUCUCUAGUUUUAUUCAUAUUCUGCUUUGUGAAGAAUGUAUCUUACUGCAUUAAAAUUCU
rnacentral:lncRNA from 1 species